CGGCCGCGUGCCUACCUUCCUCUGACAGCUGAGUUAACUCCCUCUGCACCGCGGCUCAUUGAAGGAGCCCUUUCAGGUGGCCCAGGGUGCUCUUGUUGGACGCAAAUAGGACCCAAACUGACAGGAAAGACUGUCACCCCUACUCUCUGCCACAUUUUUGUCUAUCCGGGCUCCGUUUUCUCCAGCGGUAUCGCUAAGUCUCUUAAAUUUGGGGGACAAAGAUGCUGAAGCAGGAGAGCUGUUGAUCAGAUUAACUUUACACUGCAUGCUCUUUGCACGCACGCUCUUAAGGGGUAUCUUGACCCUGUUAAGGAUGCCUCUUCUUGCUCUUGUGAUGUGCUUUCAAAGUGUCGGUAUUUGACCGAAUUCUCUCUUCAGCCCUUACUGGUUUUUCUCAGUAGCUUGCCCAACAUGGUGGCGCAAGCCUGUAAUCAUCCCACACUUGGGAGGCUGAGGCAGAAGGAUCACCAUGAGCUCGAGGCCAGCCUGCGUAACAGAGUGGUCUCUACUUACAACCCACACCAUCUGGAAGCCCCUUGGUAAUUUCAAGCUAUCUAAUCCGCACUUUCAGCUGUCUCCCACAGACAUUAAAAGUUUCACAGUCAGCCAUUGAUCCUGUUCC
rnacentral:lncRNA from 1 species